UACGUAGGCAGCAAGCGUUGUUCGGAGUUACUGGGCGUAAAGGGUGCGUAGGCGGUCCUAUAAGUAUGGUGUGAAAUCUCCCGGCUUAACUGGGAGGGUGCGCUAUAGACUGUGGGACUAGAGUGUGGGAGAGGAAAGUGGAAUUCCUGGUGUAGCGGUGAAAUGCGUAGAUAUCAGGAGGAACACCGGUGGUGUAAACGGCUUUCUGGACCGUAACUGACGCUGAGGAGCGAAAGCGUGGGGAGCAAACAGG
rnacentral:rRNA from 1 species